UACGGAGGGUGCGAGCGUUGUCCGGAUUUAUUGGGUUUAAAGGGUGUGUAGGUGGCCCUGUAAGUCAGUGGUGAAAUAUCUCAGCUUAACUGAGAGGGUGCCAUUGAUACUGCAGGGCUUGAGUACAGAUGAGGUAGGCGGAAUUGACGGUGUAGCGGUGAAAUGCAUAGAUAUCGUCAAGAACACCGAUAGCGAAGGCAGCUUACCAAGCUGUAACUGACACUGAGGCACGAAAGUGUGGGGAUCAAACAGG
rnacentral:rRNA from 1 species